rnacentral:rRNA from 1 species
GCGGGGGGCUAGUACCUGCAGUAGAACGCUGAAGAGAGGAGCUUGCUCUUCUUGGAUGAGUUGCGAACGGGUGAGUAACGCGUAGGUAACCUGCCUUGUAGCGGGGGAUAACUAUUGGAAACGAUAGCUAAUACCGCAUAACAAUGGAUGACACAUGUCAUUUAUUUGAAAGGGGCAAUUGCUCCACUACAAGAUGGACCUGCGUUGUAUUAGCUAGUAGGUGAGGUAAUGGCUCACCUAGGCGACGAUACAUAGCCGACCUGAGAGGGUGAUCGGCCACACUGGGACUGAGACACGGCCCAGACUCCUACGGGAGGCAGCAGUAGGGAAUCUUCGGCAAUGGGGGCAACCCUGACCGAGCAACGCCGCGUGAGUGAAGAAGGUUUUCGGAUCGUAAAGCUCUGUUGUAAGUCAAGAACGGGUGUGAGAGUGGAAAGUUCACACUGUGACGGUAGCUUACCAGAAAGGGACGGCUAACUACGUGCCAGCAGCCGCGGUAAUACGUAGGUCCCGAGCGUUGUCCGGAUUUAUUGGGCGUAAAGCGAGCGCAGGCGGUUUGAUAAGUCUGAAGUUAAAGGCUGUGGCUCAACCAUAGUUCGCUUUGGAAACUGUCAAACUUGAGUGCAGAAGGGGAGAGUGGAAUUCCAUGUGUAGCGGUGAAAUGCGUAGAUAUAUGGAGGAACACCGGUGGCGAAAGCGGCUCUCUGGUCUGUAACUGACGCUGAGGCUCGAAAGCGUGGGGAGCGAACAGGAUUAGAUACCCUGGUAGUCCACGCCGUAAACGAUGAGUGCUAGGUGUUGGAUCCUUUCCGGGAUUCAGUGCCGCAGCUAACGCAUUAAGCACUCCGCCUGGGGAGUACGACCGCAAGGUUGAAACUCAAAGGAAUUGACGGGGGCCCGCACAAGCGGUGGAGCAUGUGGUUUAAUUCGAAGCAACGCGAAGAACCUUACCAGGUCUUGACAUCCCGAUGCUAUUUCUAGAGAUAGAAAGUUACUUCGGUACAUCGGUGACAGGUGGUGCAUGGUUGUCGUCAGCUCGUGUCGUGAGAUGUUGGGUUAAGUCCCGCAACGAGCGCAACCCUUAUUGUUAGUUGCCAUCAUUCAGUUGGGCACUCUAGCGAGACUGCCGGUAAUAAACCGGAGGAAGGUGGGGAUGACGUCAAAUCAUCAUGCCCCUUAUGACCUGGGCUACACACGUGCUACAAUGGUUGGUACAACGAGUUGCGAGUCGGUGACGGCGAGCUAAUCUCUUAAAGCCAAUCUCAGUUCGGAUUGUAGGCUGCAACUCGCCUACAUGAAGUCGGAAUCGCUAGUAAUCGCGGAUCAGCACGCCGCGGUGAAUACGUUCCCGGGCCUUGUACACACCGCCCGUCACACCACGAGAGUUUGUAACACCCGAAGUCGGUGAGGUAACCUUUUGGAGCCAGCCGCCUAAGUGACAGAG